rnacentral:lncRNA from 1 species
UUUCAUGCGCCUCUUUAAUCACGUGGAAACAGCUUCCUCUCUCUAAUACCGAUCACGUCCUAAUUUUGAAUUAACUCUCCAAUAUUAGCCAGAUUCUUCAUAAUUUACAACAAAUUGUUUUUUUUUCUGUGAAUGUUUGUAGUGGAAAAAGUUUGUUUAGGCUAUGUUGUGAAGGGCAGGUCCACACACACACACACACACACACAUAGGCGGCGGCUGUUAUUGAUCACAGUGCGCGAAGCAGGAAUCCGAAGAAAUGUGGUGAUGCAGCAAGUGCAGUUGUGCUGGAUCAGCCGGUUUGUUCUCUGUUUACAUACAUUUGGGUUUACCUCAUGGCAGCCACAACAUGUUUCCUUCGAUCCUAGGACCUCAGAUUUCAAGAAAGUCACGAUUGCUGUCUAUCUGAUUCCAGUUUCUUUGACACACUCCAUCACAGUCCCUUUCAUCUCUUUACUUAGCACCUAGAGACGCUGCUGAUUGUGUCUCAUAGAGAUUGAUAAAGAUCACUAAAGAGCCUCUUACUGGAUAGUUAUUGAAAUUGUGUUGGUGUGGUAGCAUCAUUUUGUAUGCGUCUGUCUGCACAUAUGUGCUCUACUCUGGGUCUCAUUAGGGCCUUUCGCACUGCAGGAACCUUUUCAUAGUACCAGAACUAAUUGUGGAACUACCCACUUUUCGGCGUGUUCGCACCGCCGGAACUGGGAGCGAUUUUAGUACCGGACUGCCUUUUUCGAGAACCAAAUUAGCUCCUACUCCAGAGCAGGGUCUAACCAGCACAACUGGUACUAAUCGUGACGUAAGUAGACAUUGAUUGGCCAAACGCGUAUGAAAACGCCCUCACCCGCCAUGAUUUAAAACGCCGUGUAAACAUACUGUAAACAUGUCAACUUAUUUCUCAAGUAUGGAGAACAGCGAUAGAUGGACGGACGCUGAAGUGCAGGCACUUGUAGCAAAUGUAGCACUGCCAGUUGUCGUUGGAGAUUCUUAGUCCUCCUUUCCGUUCUUUCAAUUGCUUUACGUAUACGUCGACUUUCCAUGUCCAUUAUUGUGAAACCCGCGAGACAACAAAAACAGCUCAGAUCACAGCGUCCUCCAUCCUCCUGUUGUUAAUGUUGUUCUUUUAUUCUGUUGUUGAACGCCGUGCACAAAUGACGACGCUGUCGACCGGCUUACGUCACUUCUUAGUACAUACUCUCGGUGCGAAUGCAACCCUUUAAAUGGUACUGGGAAAUAGUUCGCGCAAAAUCGUCCCAGUACUUUAGUACCGUACAUUUAGUUCUGGAACUAAAGCGGU